GACAUUCCAUCCAGGUAACCUUUUUCUUCACGCUUUAUUUAGAAGGUGAUUUGAGGUAUUUACGGAUAUUUUAGCGAGAAGACGAAUAUUUAUGACUUACAAGCUCUUACAGCUUGAGCCUAAUAUUCGAGAUUACGACUGGACAUUCCAUCCAGGUAACCUUUUUCUUCACGUUUUAUUUAGAAAAUGAUUUGAUUAUUAAAUUAAAACAAUUAAAGUACCGAUGUUUGAAAUUAUUGAAAGUUAAGUUCAUUGUAAGAAGGCCCAAGAGUAAGCUAUGUGAGGUUGAUGGCGAUGCUUAAAAGCAAUCGACUUACAAGGGUAUGAAAAUGGGCUCGACAUUGAAUCGAGAAAAGUGUGAUUUUAACAGUUUAAAAUGGUUUUGAAUGUAUGAUGAAAUUAAUAAAGAAGCAUGGACAUAAAAAAGAUAUUACAAGAAACAAAAUACUAAAAGACAAUAAAAUAAUAAAAGAUAAAAGCUAAAAGAAAAUGAGAUAUUAAAAAAAUACUAAAGAAAAAUGAAAUACUAAAAAAACUAAAAAAAUGCUACGUAUGAGUAUCGAACUCACUCCACCUAAGACUUAAAUACCACUCCUCUCCACCAGGCCACUUAACAACUAACUGUUAUUUUAAGACUAACCUAAAUAUAUAAACUAAAAUAAAUUAAAAAAAGGAUUAAAAUAAAAACUAAAAUAAAAAAAAGAAGACUAUUGGUCUACUGGUAGUUAAACCCAGCCGCAUGGCUGU
rnacentral:lncRNA from 1 species